CAGCGCUGGAGGGACACGGCUGAGGGGACCCUCGCUGUGUGGGGACAGCCGCGAGGGGACACCUGUGGGGGGCACCUCCGCUGCGGGGGUACCUACACGGGUACUGGCCCGGGCAGCAGACGCCCUGCACAGUCCAGCGGUCUUUAGUGGAUCUUCUUGCCCGACAAUCUAAUCAAAAAACAACGGCCCAGUUUUGGCAGUCGGGCCCAGCUGGGAAUUAAAAAUAACACCGUGCAUAACCGAGCCGCAGCCCAGGCCAGUCCCAGGUUAUCCCCUUGCCCAUCUCCUGCACGCUGGGACUGAGGUCCGAGUUGAGGUAAAUGAGCCCCAUUCACCAGGCACAAGGUAUUCUGCUUCUUCAGGUAGCAUUCUGCUUCUUCAGAUAGACUCCAGAAAAGAAAUAAAAUUGCUUCUUUUAAUAUUAAACUUGUAAUUGUUCCUAUUUUUCCUCAAGAUUUGACGUCAGUGAACCAAAGCGACUGACAGCCUUUGUGCAACUCUUCGAGGGCGACCGCAGUGCGGCGAGGAGGAGUGAAGAUUUCUGAAGGCAGAAUGGUGAAGAUGAAAGUGAGCCUCAGAACUAACAUGUGUGCUUCAUUUUUUAAAGAUGGAACAGAGAGGAGGCACAAUUACCUCACAUUUAGAAGAUCUUAGUUCAAGCCCUGACCUACUGAAGCUUUCCAUGCCUUGGCUUCUCCUCCCUAUCUUAAAACCAGAUGCCUUAGAUUCCCUGAUGGGAAAGUGGCAAAUUACUGAAGGCUGAGCCUUGGUGACAUGACACAAGGGAGCCGCCAACUUUGGAAUUCGUAAGGAUUUAAAACUGGGCAAAAGCUGACCAGCCAUUACCAUGCAGAAGGUUUCCAGGAGCUGAACAGUGCAGCCAUGAUCUGAGAGACACUCAUGGGGUGAAGGAGCAUGUUACUAUGAAGACUCUUUGCCACAAGAUUCACAUGGAACUUCAGCUGAGAGGAGCCAAGGCACAACCAAGGCACACUUGGCUCAGUGAUUGCUCACCUGCAUUCACACACAAGGACAGAACCUGCAGCUCUGACAUCGAGAGAGAACUUUGAAAUACAUCUGUGUUAUGCCAUGGU